UUGCUACUCCCUCCGUCCGGAAAAGCUUGUCCCUCGAAUGAAUGUAUCUAGCACCAAGUUAGUGCUAGAUACAUCCAUUUGAAGAACAAGGUUGGGAUAAACUUUUUCGGACGGAGGGAGUAUAUG
rfam:Triticum aestivum genome assembly, contig: Triticum_aestivum_CS42_TGACv1_scaffold_343018_4DL